AAAUGAAUUGACGGGGGCCCGCACAAGCAGUGGAGCGUGUGGUUUAAUUCGACGCAACGCGUAGAACCUUACCAGGGCUUGACAUCUUGUGACAGCUGUAGAAAUACGGUUUUCCGUAGCAAUACGGACACAAAGACAGGUGUUGCAUGGUUGUCGUCAGCUCGUGUCGUGAGAUGUUGGGUUAAGUCCCGCAACGAGCGCAACCCCUAUCCAGUGUUGCCAUCGGGAGAGCCGGGCACUCACUGGAGACUGCCGGAGACGAUCCGGAGGAAGGUGGGGAUGACGUCAAAUCAUCAUGGCCCUUAUGUCCUGGGCUACACACGCGCUACAAUGGCAGGUACAACGGGCAGCGAGAGGGUAACCUUGAGCGAAUCCCUUAAAACCUGUCUCAGUUCAGAUUGAGGGCUGCAACUCGCCCUCAUGAAGACGGAAUUGCUAGUAAUCGCGAAUCAGCUACGUCGCGGUGAAUACGUUCCCGGGCCUUGUACACACCGCCCGU
rnacentral:rRNA from 1 species